UUAGUCGACUAUUAGUCGCAUGUUUAUUAAUAAACCAUAUAAAUCAUAAUAAUGAGCCUUUAAUAGCAUAAAGCGCUCAAGCGCACACACCAAAAACAAAAAAGGGUUGCCACAGCGUACUGGCAGAAAUAAUAAUUAUGAAUGUGUCUGGGAAAAACAGCAAAAGAGACUACAUUAACAUUUUAAUAAUUAACAUAAACUAACUCUUCUUAAUGACCUGCAACAGCAUCUUUCAGAUUUUUAGCACAUUGACUGUCAUUGACUCAUCUUUCCAGCUUGGGAAAAUGAAGUCACCCCUAGUAUUUGUCACCAGAUCACAUCAAGAUAAGCCAGUGACCAUCAGCUGACCCUGGACUUGCCAGUGGGCACUUAACUUCUACCAGGCCAUAGGGAGGGUCUUCAUUUGGGUCUACCACCUUGCCAUUUGGACUAGCACCA